AUUAAGUGUUCAUUUUUAGUCUAGAAGGGACAGGCGUUUAUUGUGCAUUGGCCAGUGCCAGCACAUCCGAUGCAAGGCAGUUCACCGUAUUCUAUCUUUAAUUUUUACCAUGGUCCUCUGAGGUAGGUGUUCUUAUCUCUCUCUCUCUCUCUCUCUUUUAAACAGAGGAAGACAAACAUAAAGAUGAAGUGCUUAAUUCAAGGUCACACAAUGUCGGGGAUGGACCUCCAGAUUUCCUUACUGACCUGCAUUAUCUUGUGGAUACCUGAGUGAAUUCCACACCACCCAUUUUAUAGAUGAAACCACUGAGACAUGGAGCAAUUGACUGAGUAGUCACUGCCCCACCCCUGCCUGGAGCCUCACACAUGACUCGCCUCCUCUCAGUGACCACAGGUGAGACGUGGUCUUGUAACACAGUGGUUAAGAAUGUGACUUUGGAGCCAGCCUGCUAGGGGCUGAAUUCUGACUCAGCCAUUUACUAACUGUGUGACCUUAGGUAAGUCA
rnacentral:lncRNA from 1 species